UACUUCCGACAUCUAAGAACAAGACAGAUGCUAAGGGUCUGACCACCUUCUCGCUCAACGAGAAUAGAACAUUUGCAGAUGGAAGAUUUGAUGAUAAUAUGACACAAUUGCAAAAAGAAGAUCUGGAGGACAAAUGUGAUUGCUCAGCGCUGUGCUGGAGUGCAGGAUCCCAGCCUUGAUUGGCCUCUCAGCUCUGCCACGUGUCUUCCCUCUGAAGGGGAUGCUCAGCCUGGAAGUGCACAGAGACCUUCCCUGGCACUCAUUGUGGCUGCUGAGGAAGCCGGGGCCCCAGCAGCAGAAUCUGCGGAAGAGGCAAAGGAUGGUCUAAAUGAGUCCAUGAGGACGGAGGAGAACAGUUCCGGAGAAGAACCGUUUGGCUCCAGUAUGGCUGCACAUGGCACUGAAUCAGAGUAUCACAUCCUCCUAUUUGAUCUGGGAGAUCCAAUGAAGGCUGAUCCGGGAUCCCUGGGGACAGUAAUAUGCAUGGUGGGGGGAGAAGGUUUUCUCCUGCCAAGAAGGGAGAUAAGUGUCUGCAAACAACACUGGUUUGACAGUCAUUUGCAUCAGGAAAAUUGCCUGCUUCCCUGCUCAAGCCGGCCAGAGAGCUCCCAUCAUGCAAGAGGCCACCCAGGUCCUGUUCUCCUCCCCCCACCAAGUGGAAGCCAAAAAUUGAAGGAUACCCUUUUAGAGUUUGCAUGGACUGUUUUUGGAGAGAAGCCAUGCCCACUUUGUGUUUGGCACCGUGUGUGUGUGUGUGUGUGUGUGUGUGUGUGUGUGUGUGUGUGAGAGAGAGAGAGAGAGAGACAGAGAGAGAGAGACAGAGAGACAGAGACAUAGAGACAAAGACAGAGAGAGAAUCUUCUGUCUUCAAAAGGAAACAAAAUGUUUUCCAGUUCCUUCCUUAAGGUGCUUUAGUAUUCUCACAUUUUAAUUUCUUCCUUUGGAUUGGUAUAAUUACCAUUCAAAUCUGUUAUACUCCAAAAAUAAGCUAAUUCCCCAAAUCUAUUCAUACAGCCUACACACACACUCCGCUAUUAUCCAUUCCAUUAUGUCCAACAUCAUGGUAUUCAUUCGUGAACUCUUCCACCCUUAAGCCAUAGCUGAUAGCUUUGCACAAGGAGAAUUUCCCUGCUUAUUUCCCCAUUUGGUGCUAACAGGACCUGGAGUGCCUACUCCUACAGCUAUUCCUUCACACGGUUCUGUUCACCAGAGGUUGAUGGAGACCCUGGAAUUCUCACCUGCAAAGGCUGAACCUGACUGGGUUGUCCCUAGACUCAGGCCAGGUUCCACCUCAAUCAAAGCAGGUAUUAGCUCACAGUGUUCAUGUACCAGAUUACAAAUCAAACCCAUUAGACAAAACUCCUCACUCAUCUGUCAAGUGUCACAGAGCCACUGACCUGCACAGUUCUUUAUAUCAUUUAUACAACAAUCAUAUUUUGUGCUCUCAUUUUCCUACCUGUGCAUGUGCAAAAUAUGCCUAAAUAACCAGUGUUUCUAAUUUUCCACUUGAAAGAAGCAUAAGAAAUCUAUGUCUUAUCUUAAUAAAUAGAAAAAAAAAAAAUCCUUAACCAUGAACAGAAAGUCAGAAAACAAGCCUCUGAUAAGAGGAGAUGAAGAAAGCAUGCAGGACUAACUUAGCUUCUAGUAACUGUGACAGGGAAUUUUAAAAAUUCCAAGGGGGAUUUCAAAACUAAAACCUCUAUAAACAUGUUUUUUCACCCAUUGAAAAAUAUGCUAUCAUAGAGCUCUUCACCUGCUUCUCCUCUUAAAUUUGGUAUUUUCUUCAUGGUUAGUGAACUCUGGGGUCCCAGCCCUUCCUUAUACAAUGUAGUGUUCCUACCAGGAUGACUCACUAACCUGGUGCUAUGAUCUGAAUGUUUGUGUCCCCUGAAAUUCCUAUGUUGAAAUCCUAACUCCCCAAUGAGAUGGCAUUAGAAAGUGGGGCCUCUGGGAGGUGCUUAGGCCACGAAUAG